GACGAACGCUGGCGGCGUGCCUAAUACAUGCAAGUCGAGCGGACCGAAGGGAGCUUGCUCCUUUAGGUUAGCGGCGGACGGGUGAGUAACACGUGGGCAACCUGCCCUGCAGAUUGGGAUAACUUCGGGAAACCGGAGCUAAUACCGGAUAACACCGAAAACCGCAUGGUUUUCGGUUGAAAGGCGGCUUUUAGCUGUCACUGCAGGAUGGGCCCGCGGCGCAUUAGCUAGUUGGUGAGGUAACGGCUCACCAAGGCGACGAUGCGUAGCCGACCUGAGAGGGUGACCGGCCACACUGGGACUGAGACACGGCCCAGACUCCUACGGGAGGCAGCAGUAGGGAAUCUUCCGCAAUGGACGAAAGUCUGACGGAGCAACGCCGCGUGAGCGAAGAAGGUCUUCGGAUCGUAAAGCUCUGUUGUCAGGGAAGAACAAGUACCGUUCGAAUAGGGCGGUACCUUGACGGUACCUGACGAGGAAGCCACGGCUAACUACGUGCCAGCCGCCGCAGUAA
rnacentral:rRNA from 1 species